rnacentral:rRNA from 1 species
AUUGAACGCUGGCGGCAUGCCUUACACAUGCAAGUCGAACGGCAGCACGGGAGCAAUCCUGGUGGCGAGUGGCGAACGGGUGAGUAAUAUAUCGGAACGUGCCCAGUCGUGGGGGAUAACGCAGCGAAAGCUGUGCUAAUACCGCAUACGAUCUACGGAUGAAAGCGGGGGAUCGCAAGACCUCGCGCGAUUGGAGCGGCCGAUAUCAGAUUAGCUAGUUGGUGAGGUAAAGGCUCACCAAGGCGACGAUCUGUAGCUGGUCUGAGAGGACGACCAGCCACACUGGAACUGAGACACGGUCCAGACUCCUACGGGAGGCAGCAGUGGGGAAUUUUGGACAAUGGGGGCAACCCUGAUCCAGCAAUGCCGCGUGCAGGAAGAAGGCCUUCGGGUUGUAAACUGCUUUUGUACGGAACGAAACGGCUCUGGUUAAUACCUGGGGCUAAUGACGGUACCGUAAGAAUAAGCACCGGCUAACUACGUGCCAGCCGCCGCAGUAACAC